AAGGAGCAUUCUCCACGCCGGCCCCACAGUGGUGGGUGCGGGUUGUGGCAGAGCCACUUCGGAAACGAAUGUUUUCCGGUGGUUGCUCAUGGGUGGAACGCUGACAAUCUCCAUCGCGUACGGCCGAGGCUGUAGUUCUCGGUGCUGGUGGAUAUAUCAACACACUGUUGGGUCCUGAAAGAACAGGCGUUCUUUCCAGGCAAUAAACAUGAUCCGCUCGGAUCUCCGUUCAUACCGCGGGAGCUUCUUUUGGGAGUUGUCGGCUGGUGCGGGUGAAAGUUCCGGGUCGGGUGUGUUGUUUGAGAACUGCACAGUGGACGCGAGCAUCUUUGUUUU
rnacentral:misc_RNA from 1 species